AUUCAAUAUAUUUUGGAUAUAUUUUGAAUUGGAAUUGGAAUAUUCUAAGAAAGAAAAAGAAAUCAAUGGAAAUAAUAGAAAAAAAAAGCGUAAAAAUAAUUGAAAAAACAGAUCCUCAAACAAACUAUGUUUUUUUUUCUUUGUGAACUCAAAGAUUUCACUUUUGUGCAAAAUUGAAGAAAGAAAUUGACGGAGGGAGAGCAAUUUCCUCGUGCCGCCGUCGCAAGUCGUUGCACCGCCGCUUGCCGGCGAGAUCAUAAUUCAUAUCUUCCAUCUCCUCCUCUCUCUACGCUGUUCCGAACCUUCAAAUGAUGAAUCCAAGAAAAUUCUUUCCGAUCCUAACGUCGACCACAAAGAUUUCGCCGUGAAAAGCUACGCCGAUUUGAAGAAUCGACCUACCGUUCAAGGAACGCCGGCGACCGGCCGCAACGGUGGAUGAUGUGCGUCAUUCUGACCGAGAGUGACGAAGAUCGCUAGCUCGAGCUUUGAUGGUGAAAGGGAUUGAUAUAAAGAGACGACAAGGAUAGAGGCGUAUUGGAAUUUGGAGGAUAGCAAUUUACAAAAUUUUCUUCCCCUCCGUUGUAGUGGGACGCUGACGGGACGCACGGGACUCCGAAGUCACGUGCCUUCCCCGUGCUUCUGCUGCACAGUUCUCUAGGGUUUAUUCCUGAUUCGGUUGAAUAAGGUAAUUGAGACUGUGGACUGAGGCUGUCAAGUGAAGAUAUUGACUUGUUUCAACAUAUCAAUGACCUACACACCUCCAACAUGGGCGACAUUAGCUGCUGCUGCAUUUGUUAUUCUGACUCUUGUCCUUUCACUGUAUCUGUUGUUCGAGCACCUCUCUGCAUAUAAGAAUCCGGAGGAGCAAAAGUUUUUGAUUGGUGUUAUCCUGAUGGUCCCAACUUAUGGUGUAGAAUCAUUUGUAUCAUUGGUGUACCCAUCAAUAAGUGUUUAUCUUGAGAUACUACGCGAUUGCUAUGAAUCCUUCGCAAUGUACUGCUUUGGACGAUACCUGGUUGCUUGCUUGGGCGGAGAAGAAGGAACUAUUGCAUUUUUAGAGAGAGAAGGACGUUCAAAUACUAAGACGCCUUUAUUAGAACAUAGCUCAGAAAAGGGAACCAUCAAACAUGUUUUCCCUAUGAACCUUUUCUUAAAGCCGUGGAAAAUUGGUGGAUGGGUUUACCAUGUUAUCAAAAUUGGAAUCGUCCAAUAUAUGAUGAUAAAGUCCCUCACUUCUAUUUUAGCUGUAGUUCUUGAGAACUUUGGUGUUUAUUGUGAAGGAGACUUUAAUUUCAAAUGCGGGUAUCCUUAUAUGGCAGUGGUUUUAAAUUUCAGUCAAACAUGGGCACUGUACUGCCUGAUUCAGUUCUAUACAGUUACAAAGGAUGAAUUGGUACAUAUAAAGCCCUUGGCCAAAUUUUUGAUGUUUAAAUCUAUAGUAUUUUUGACUUGGUGGCAAGGUGUUGGAAUUGCUCUCCUAUCUGCCUUCGAUUUGUUCAGGAGUCCUGUAGCCCAAGGGUUACAGUUUAAGUCAAGUGUCCAAGAUUUCAUCAUUUGUAUAGAGAUGGCCAUUGCUUCAGUGAUUCACUUGUAUGUAUUUACUGCAAAACCCUAUGAACUUAUGGGGGACCGUUAUCCUGGAAGUGUUUCUGUUCUUGGCGAUUAUGCAUCCGUUGACUGUCCUUUAGAUCCAGAUGAGGUCCGGGAUAGCGAGCGUCCUACAAAGUUACGCCUACCCCAACCUGACCUUGAAGACCAAGACCCCAAAAUGGGAAUGACAAUCAAAGAGAGUGUUCGAGAUGUUUUUGUUGGUGGUGGGGGCUAUAUUGUUAGCGACCUGAAAUUCACAGUACACCAAGCAGUCGAACCUAUGGAAAAAGGAAUAACAAAGUUCAACGAAAAACUACAGAAGCUCUCCCAAAACAUUAAGAAACGUGACAAGGAUAAAAGAAGAACCAAGGAUGACAGUUGUAUCACAUCGCCCACACGAAAACUCAUUCGAGGAAUCGAUGACCCCCUUUUGAAUGGGAGCUUUAGUGAUAGUGGGGUUGUAAGAGAAAAGAAGAACCGUCGUAAAUCAGGUUAUAUAAGUGCAGAAAGUGGUGGAGAAAGCAGCAGUGAUUACGGUUAUGGCAAGUACCAAGUUGGGGGCCGCCGGUGGAUCACCAAAGACUAGUAAAGAAUAGGUAACUGCUGUUUAUAAUCAAAUCAAGAGAAAAAAAGAGGGGUGGGGUUGUGGUUCACUUAUCAAGUGGAGUCCUAAUAGACGAGAGAUGUGUAUUGAGUUGUUGCAUAUGCCUGAAUUUGUGAAGCCUCUUCAAAUGAAUGUUGUGUGGCGUAGCAAUCAAGGGAAGAUUCCAAUAGAAAACUCCUGCUAUGAUGAUGUGUGCAACCAAAUGCUAAGGUAAAGCCUUUUUUGGUGCGAAGAGGAUUUAAAUGGACUCUAUGAUGAGUGAAGGAAGUUUAAAGUUACAAAGCUGCAUUAUUUUCAUUGGAAUCAUCGAUGUGAAUUAAUGCUACCGGAGGAGACUGAUUAUCUCAUAGGGUUUGAUUAUAAACAAGAAGAGUUUAUAUUAUAUUCUAUGCAGAAAAUAGAUAGAUCACUUACGUUUAGUUUAGUUUUGUUUAUGCGGUAGUAUUGUAUAACUUAGAUGGAAAAUGGAUGAAAUAAUCAUUAUGAGUUUGAUGAGAUAAGAUAAUCCUCCUAACCAAGAGGUCGUCAUGAUUUCAAUCCAGGGUGGUCAUCUACUUAUAAAUUAAUUUCAUAUCGAGUUUUUUCAUUA